rnacentral:rRNA from 1 species
CCAGCACCCGCGGUAAUUCCAGCUCCAAUAGCGUAUAUUAAAGUUGUUGCAGUUAAAAAGCUCGUAGUUGGAUUUGUGGUUUGUGGUGGGUUCCAGGCACUUGUUGUCUGAGUAACUUGCUGCUGCCAUCCUUGGGUGGAACCUGUGUGGCAUUAGGUUGUCGUGCAGGGGAUGCCCAUCGUUUACUGUGAAAAAAUUAGAGUGUUCAAAGCAGGCUUAUGCCGUUGAAUAUAUUAGCAUGGAAUAAUGAGAUAGGACUUUUUCGCUAUUUUGUUGGUUUGCGCGAAGAGGUAAUGAUUAAUAGGGACAGUUGGGGGUAUUCGUAUUCCAUUGUCAGAGGUGAAAUUCUUGGAUUUCUGGAAGACGAACUACUGCGAAAGCAUUUACCAAGGAUGUUUUCAUUAAUCAAGAACGAAAGU